GACGAACGCUGGCGGCGUGCCUAAUACAUGCAAGUUGAGCGCUGAAGGUUGGUACUUGUACCGACUGGAUGAGCAGCGAACGGGUGAGUAACGCGUGGGGAAUCUGCCUUUGAGCGGGGGACAACAUUUGGAAACGAAUGCUAAUACCGCAUAAAAACUUUAAACACAAGUUUUAAGUUUGAAAGAUGCAAUUGCAUCACUCAAAGAUGAUCCCGCGUUGUAUUAGCUAGUUGGUGAGGUAAAGGCUCACCAAGGCGAGGAUACAUAGCCGACCUGAGAGGGGGCUCGGCCAAGUUGGGCUGGGGACACGGCCCAAACCCCUACGGGGGGCAGCAGUCGGGGAUCUCCGCCGAUGGCAGCAAGUCUGACCGAGCAACGCCGCGUGAGUGCAGGAGGUUUUCGGAUCGUGAAACUCUGUUGGCAGAGAAGAUCGUUGGUGAGAGUGGAAAGCUCAUCAAGUGACGGUAACUACACAGAAAGGGACGGCUAACUACGUG
rnacentral:rRNA from 1 species